GUUAGGGUUCCAAGUAAAUUUCGGCCUUCACAAUUUGGGUUCGGCCCAGAAUACGGCAGAAUUGUGCUUUGAAUCUUUUAUAAAACUACCGGUCGCCAUCGCUACUCCAGUCUGUCAAACCCCGGCCGCCGUUCUUUCCCCCGCUCUCUCGACUCGAAGAUGAAGGCAUAGUACCACUCUGAUACUACUACAAUGGAGGCGAUCAGAAAAGCGAUGGCAAUAUCUUCCAAUCGUUGUGUUCUUCCCUCUCUAUUUACUCUGCCGUCUCGUCUCGUCUCUUUCAGAGGCAUAGCUUCGAAGCUUUUUGUUGGUGGACUCUCAUUUUACACUACUGACAAGGGACUGUCAGAAGCUUUUUCUCAGUAUGGUCAGGUUGUUGAAGCUAAAGUUGUGAUGGAUAGAGUCUCUGAUAAGUCAAAGGGAUUCGGAUUUGUCACCUUUGCAUCCGAAGACGAAGCUCAUACAGCACUGACAGAGAUGAAUGGAAAGCCUUUGAACGGAAGGGUUAUCUUUGUGGACUAUGCAAAACCAACAUCCAAAUUUCGUAGCGGAAUUCCUAUAGCGAGAGGACCUCCUGAGGAGAAAACUGAUGAAUGAUUGCUCAUAAAAUUUUAUGUUCCGUCAUUUCUCAAAAAGAAAUUAGCUGAAAAGGAAGGGAACAAUCCUUGUAGCUGUGCAUGAAAAGUGUGAUUCAGACAUGUUCUUUCAGCACUUUCCUUCAUGCCAGAGACGUGUUAAAAGCCUCAGGAAAAAGAGGCCAGCAUGCAGGAAUACUUAAAAUUCGUCCAAAUUAGAUUAACAGAUUGCCAUAUUGUGAAUGCAAUCUUUCUUUUUGCAGCAACUAGUCUCAUGGUUAAAAAUAAGGUUCAAUUUUUUUUAUCUUUAUUUUAGUUCGGUCCCUAGACUUUCAAAAUAUGUAUUAUAGUUCUUGAACUCACAAAAUAGGAAAAAUUUUGGUCCUUCCUAAUCUUAGUCAACCUAUGUAAUCAAUAA